rnacentral:rRNA from 1 species
GUGUGCCUACGGGCGCAGCAGUGGGGAAUAUUGCACAAUGGGGGAAACCCUGAUGCAGCGACGCCGCGUGAGUGAAGAAGUAUUUCGGUAUGUAAAGCUCUAUCAGCAGGGAAGAAAAUGACGGUACCUGACUAAGAAGCCCCGGCUAACUACGUGCCAGCGGCCGCGGUAAUACGUAGGGGGCAAGCGUUAUCCGGAUUUACUGGGUGUAAAGGGAGCGUAGACGGUGAUGUAAGUCUGGAGUGAAAGGCGGGGGCCCAACCCCCGGACUGCUCUGGAAACUAUGUGACCGGAGUGCAGGAGAG